rnacentral:rRNA from 1 species
CGCUGGCGGCGUGCUUAACACAUGCAAGUCGAGCGGAAAGGCCCUUCGGGGUACUCGAGCGGCGAACGGGUGAGUAACACGUGAGCAACCUGCCCCAGGCUUUGGGAUAACCCCGGGAAACCGGGGCUAAUACCGAAUAUGACCUCUGACCGCAUGGUUGGUGGUGGAAAGUUUUUCGGCUUGGGAUGGGCUCGCGGCCUAUCAGCUUGUUGGUGGGGUGAUGGCCUACCAAGGCGACGACGGGUAGCCGGCCUGAGAGGGCGACCGGCCACACUGGGACUGAGACACGGCCCAGACUCCUACGGGAGGCAGCAGUGGGGAAUAUUGCACAAUGGGCGGAAGCCUGAUGCAGCGACGCCGCGUGAGGGAUGACGGCCUUCGGGUUGUAAACCUCUUUCAGCAGGGACGAAGCGUAAGUGACGGUACCUGCAGAAGAAGCGCCGGCCAACUACGUGCCAGCAGCCGCGGUAAGACGUAGGGCGCGAGCGUUGUCCGGAUUUAUUGGGCGUAAAGAGCUCGUAGGCGGCUUGUCGCGUCGACCGUGAAAACUUGGGGCUCAACCCCAAGCCUGCGGUCGAUACGGGCAGGCUAGAGUUCGGUAGGGGAGACUGGAAUUCCUGGUGUAGCGGUGAAAUGCGCAGAUAUCAGGAGGAACACCGGUGGCGAAGGCGGGUCUCUGGGCCGAUACUGACGCUGAGGAGCGAAAGCGUGGGGAGCGAACAGGAUUAGAUACCCUGGUAGUCCACGCUGUAAACGUUGGGCGCUAGGUGUGGGGGGCCUCUCCGGUUCCCUGUGCCGCAGCUAACGCAUUAAGCGCCCCGCC